UCGGCCUCCCAAAGUGCUGGGAUUACAGGCGUGAGCCACCAUGCCCGGCUGGAUAUGCUUAUAAUUUGUUGAGUAUUAUGGGUCAAAUGGUGUCUCCCCAAAAAGAUAUGUUGAAAUCCCAAACCCCAGUACUUCAGAAUGUGAUCUUAUUUGGAAAUAAGAUCUUUACAGAGAUAAUCAAGUUAAAUAAGAUCAUUAAGGUGGGUCCUAAUCCAAUAUGACUGGUGUUUUUAUAAAAUUGGGGAAAUUUGGUGACAGAGUUGCACAGAGGGAAGACUGUGAAGAAACUCAGGAAGCAUAUCAUGUGAUGAUGAAGGCAGAAAUCACAGUGAUGCAUUUACAAGCCAAGAAACAUCAAAGAUUGCCAAAAAAAAACAACAGAAGCAAGGAGAAAGACAUGGAACAAAUUCUCUCUCAUAUCCCUCGGAAGGAAGCAAUCCUACCAAUAUCUUGAUCUCAGUGUUUUCAGCUCUGGAAUUUUGAGGCAAUAAAUUUCUGUUGCUCAAGCCAUCCAGGUACUUUGUUGUCGCAUUUCUAGGAAACUUAACGCCAAUUUUGCGACUGCAAUGUGGAAUGCUGCUGUAACACCUAAAGAUGUAGAAGUGGCUUUGGAGUUGAGGAAUGAGUAGAGACUGGGAGAGUUGUGAGAAGCACAAUAGAAAAAGCCUAGAUUGCCUUGAAGAGACUGUUGGUAGAAACACAGGUGUUAAAGGAGAUUCUAGUGAGGGCUCAGAAAGAAAAGAGGAGGGAUAUAGAGAAAGCUGUUAGCAUCUUAGAGAGUAGAUACAUUGUCAUGAACAGAGUAUUGCUAGAAAUAUGAAUGCUAAGGUGCUUCUGGUGAGGUUUAAGAUGGAAAUGAGGAACAUAUUAUAGGAAACUGGAGGAAGGGUGAUCCUUUCUAUGAAAUGGCAGAAAAUUUGGCUGUACCGUGCUCUGUUGGAUAGAAAGUAGAACUUGUAAGUAAUGAACUGAGAUAUUUAACCGAGGAUGUUUCUAAGCAAAGUGUUGAAGGCACAGCCUGUUUCCUCCCUGCUGUUUACAAUAAAAUGUGAAUGAAGAAAGAGAGAUAAGUUGAAAAAGGAAUUUUUAAGCAAAAAGGAACUAGAACUUGAAGAUUUGACAAAUUCUCAGGCUAUCCAUAUUGCAAAUGAUAAGAAACUAUGCUCAGAAGAGAACACCAAGGCUGUGGUUUGUGAAUCCAGUCAACCAUCUCAGCAGAAAUACUGCUGUCUUGGACUGAAGGUUGCAGAGGUGAUGAAACUGAGGUUGAAGGCUGAAUUAAUUUGCCCAAGAUCCUGUGGCUGGGAAGUGAAAGAUGAAUUCUAAUCCAGGUCUUGAGGACUCCAAAACUCACGCCCCUAACCACUCUGCGAUGCUGCCAACCCAUUUCUCACCACCUGCUCCUUUCUAAGCAA
rnacentral:lncRNA from 1 species